GCACCCCCACCUCAUCCUUUUCUUUACAGUACCGUACCCACCUCCACCUUAUCUGUGUCCCCUCCUUCCAAAUAUAUCACACAGCCUAAAAUACCAUAUUUUUUUCUCCCGGCCACCUCUCCCCCUGAUUCUCUAUGUCUCACACCACAGCGCCGCCGCCGCGAACUCCGAUUCCGGGAGGCUCCGGCGGACUCCCAACCCACUGCUCACGAAUCUCCCCGACUCCCUCUAUGUUCUCCCCCGAACCUUCGCCCCCGUCCAUCGCGCCCCUGCACGCACGCCACGCAACAACCCCAGUCGCCAAGCGUCGCCGGCGUGGCUCUGACAGCUCUGGUUUAUCAGCCAACUACCAUUGCAUCACCUCACGCGCAGCAGCCGGCUCGGGAUUGACAUUGAUUUAUCUACUACACUAGUGCAUUGCAAUAAAGAGAAAUCCAUGAAUAUGCAGAAGAAGCCUUGAGAAUUAUUUAAGUCAGUUGUUUAUAGCGUGGUGAGGAUCCUUUCGAUAGUUCAUGUUGUUCAUAUUAAUGUAAGGAAAACAUGAAUUUGUAUAUUCUAUUUUUUCGGUUGA